AUCAAUGAAAAUGUCCCUAGGUGAAGAUUUUUUAAAAAGAACUUUAGGAAGCCAUUGUUAUAGCUUCAGAGACUUCUACAUGUCAAGAAAGCUAAAGAAGAGGUCAGGCUUUCUCAAGAGCUAAUGCAGAGUAACAUGAGAUCAAGUAGCUCUGAUACUUACUAGGUAUAAUUCUGGACAAGUAUUUUUGCUAUGUACGCACCCUGACUGGGGAUCAAACCCACAACUACUGUAUGAGCCCUGGCCGGGAAUUGAACCCGGGACCCUCCAGUGCACAGGACAACGCUCCAACCAACUGCCAGGACUCAACAUAAUACUUCUAUUAUUUCUUAAUCAGUUGGCCCUUGAAUAACAUGGGGAUUAGGGGCAUCACCCCCCAGUGCAGUUGAAAAUCCACAUUACUUUCGACUGAAAGUCUUAUCAAUGACUUAAAUAGUCAAAUAAGACAUAUUUAGUAUGUUAUAUAUAAUAUUUAAUAUACUCUUACAAUAAGAGAAAAGUUGAGAAAGCAUGUACAUAUAUUUUAUGUAUUCAUGACAUACCUAACUUUUUCAAAAAAUUUUUUCAAUAUUUCUAGGCUAUGUGAUUCACCUGCAAAUUUCCCAUAUUGUUCAAGGAUCAACUCUAUACCUCCUGGACAGAUUUUCCUGUGGUGUUUGCUGAGAUGAGUCAAGAAGACUGAUGAACGUGGCCUUCCGCUCAACUCAGAGACUUCACAUCAGUACCCUCAGUACAGUAAUCUCAAAGCUUUUAUUAAGCUGAUGGAUCUUCACAGCAGCGUAUCUUUGUUCAUAAAGGUCAAAAGCCUAGGAUUCAAGUCACAAGAGUUAGGACCAAAGACCAACUGAAUAGCUGUAAGAGGUUAAAAAAAAAUUUGGUGAUGAUUUUCUCAUAAUAUGGAAUUAGAAUAUACACUACAA